rnacentral:rRNA from 1 species
GAUGAACGCUGGCGGCGUGCCUAAUACAUGCAAGUCGAGCGAACGGACGAGAAGCUUGCUUUUCUGAUGUUAGCGGCGGACGGGUGAGUAACACGUGGAUAACCUACCUAUAAGACUGGGAUAACUUCGGGAAACCGGAGCUAAUACCGGAUAAUAUUUUGAACCGCAUGGUUCAAAAGUGAAAGACGGUCUUGCUGUCACUUAUAGAUGGAUCCGCGCUGCAUUAGCUAGUUGGUAAGGUAACGGCUUACCAAGGCAACGAUGCAUAGCCGACCUGAGAGGGUGAUCGGCCACACUGGAACUGGGACACGGUCCAGACUCCUACGGGAGGCAGCAGUAGGGAAUCUUCCGCAAUGGGCGAAAGCCUGACGGAGCAACGCCGCGUGAGUGAUGAAGGUCUUCGGAUCGUAAAACUCUGUUAUUAGGGAAGAACAUAUGUGUAAGUAACUGUGCACAUCUUGACGGUACCUAAUCAGAAAGCCACGGCUAACUACGU